rnacentral:lncRNA from 1 species
GUUCACUCAAGCCUGGAUGGAAUAAAUUGGCGUUACUCCAGACAGUGGAGCAAAUUGCCCUAAUGCUACCUCUCUGCAGUGAUUUGAAAUAUCGUUUUCACUACAUAGGAAAUUAUUAUGCUUGUUAAAUAAUUUGGUGACACAUUUUGACAAUAGAUCUCUAUCCAGAAACAGGUUUUUUUGUCCCUUAGUCUUAUAGUUUUAUUAAUACACCUACUCUCUUCUAAUUUUUUUGUUUUAAUUGCUUUGGAAGAACCAUACACUUUCUAAGGGAUAUUAGUGCUGUAUAUGCAACAAAUGAGAACACUAAGAAGGGUGUUUUAUCAGCUAUGUUUCCUGUUGAUCCUGUGAAAGAAAAUUAUGUUCAUAAAGUGGAAAACUGUAUUUUUUCAACCUCCUUCUCAACUCCUUUCAAAUCAAGA